UUGAAUUGAUCUAAAUUUGAGGAUUAUAACCCAGGAAGAGCAUCUCAGAAAGCUCUGGGAACUGUUCCAUCCAUGAGAAGUCAACGCACAGUUAUAUUCGACGAAGACGUCCAGACGGCUCCGCUCCGCGCUGUGCUUUGAGAGCAGCCCCUGGUGAAGCUCCUCUCCAGCUCUUCGCCAGUGUUCAAUUCAACCCAAAGAACCAGGAACCGAGGAGGAAGGAAAUAAUUGACAUGCAAAGCCGCUAUUUUUAGACACCUUUACACUCUUCUUUUGCUUCUAACUAGCAAGGAUUUUUCCAAACAAGCUUUUAAUUAGCAGGUGAGUUUAAUUGAUAUGUGGGUUUCUCAGAAGGGGAAGGGACCUCAAUGUGGAGGAGGAGGGGGGAGGGCCUCCAUCACUCUCACACACAAUAGAAGACCAUUAAUUCAUUUGCACCUGGAUGUUUUAAAGGAUCAAUUUACUGUA